UUUCCUAUGAUCCACUCUCCUGUGCACUGUGCUACUCGAGAGCUUGGAGACUGAAUUCACAUGAUACUGCUGCCCAGAGCUUUUUCUUUUCCUCUGGCAUGCACCAAGCUGACACAUGAGCCAAAGUGAUAAGGGCACUAUUUUCCAAGAACAUCCUGCACCUAAUCAAUAGUUUGCUGUUCACGACUCCUCCAGCACCGGCUUGGUCUCUCUGGUAUUCUGCCUGCAACAUGCAGUUUAAUCUCCUCAAAAGAUGUGAGUGCCUGAAAAUCUUUAGUUUUUCUAAAGCCUUUGGACUUAAUGUAAGAUACCAUCAUGAAAUUUAAUGGCCU
rnacentral:lncRNA from 1 species